rnacentral:rRNA from 1 species
CCUGGUUGAUCCUGCCAGUAGUCAUAUAUUUUUGUCUCAAAGAUUAAGCCAUGCAUGUGUAAGUAUGAACUAAUUCAGACGUGAAACCGCGAAUGGCUCAUUAAAUCAGUUAUAGUUUGUUUGAUGGUAACUACUACCGGAUAACCGUAGUAAUUCUAGAGCUAAUAACGCGCAACAAACCCCCACUUCUGGAAGGGAUGCAUUUAUUAGAUAAAGGUCGACGCUGGGCUCUGCCCGCUGUCGAUGAUGAUUCAUGAUAACUCGACGGAUCGCAUGGCCUUUAGUGCUGGCGACGAUCAUUCAAAUUUCUGCCCUAUCAACUUUCGAUGGUAGGAUAGUGGCCUACCAUGGUGGUAACGGGUGACGGAGAAUUAGGGUUCGAUUCCGAGAGGGGGAGCCUGAGAAACGGCUACCACAUCCAAGGAAGGCAGCAGCGCCAAGAAAUUACCCAACCCCUCCUGACACGGGAGGUAGUGACAAUAAAUAACAAUACCGGCUCUUUGAGUCUGGUAAUUGGAAUGAGUACAAUCUAAAUCCCUUUAACGAGGAUCCAUUGAGGGCAAGUCUGCCAGCCAGCAGCCGCGUAAUUCCAGCUCCAAUAGCGAUAUUUAAGUUGUUGCAGUUAAAAAGCUCAGAAGUUGAACCUUGGGAUGGUCGCCCGUCCGCUUUUUCGGUGAGCACCGGUCGGUUUGUCUUCUUCUGUCGGCGAUACGCCCUGGCCUUAACUGGUCGGGUCGCCUCCGGCGCUGUUACUUUGAAGAAAUUAGAGUGCUCAAAGCAAGCCACACGCCUGUAUACAUUAGCAUGGGAUAACAUCAUAGGAUUUCGAUCCUAUUGUGUUGGCCUUCGGAUCGGAGUAAUGAUUAACAGGGACAGUCGGGGCAUUCAGAUUUCAUAGUCGAGGUGAAAUUUUGGAUUUAUGAAAGACUAACAACCGCGAAAAGCAUUUGCCAAGGAUGUUUUCAUUAAUCAAGAACGAAAAGUUGGGGGCUCAAGACGAUCAGAUACCGCCCUAGUCUCAACCAUAAACGAUGUGCCAUUGUGGAUCAGCGGAUGUUGCUUUUUUAGGACUCCGCUGGCACCUUAUGAGAAAUCAAAGUUUUUGGGUUCCGGGGGGAGUAUGGUCGCAAGGCUGAAACUUAAAGGAAUUGACGGAAGGGCACCACCAGGAGUGGAGCCCGCGGCUUAAUUUGACUCAACACGGGAAACUUACCAGGUCCAGACAUAGUAAGGAUUGACAGACUGAGAGCUCUUUUCUUGAUUCUAUGGGUGGUGGUGCAUGGCCGCUUUUAGUUGGUGGAGCCGAUUUGUCUGGUUAAUUCCGCUAACUAACGAGACCUCAGCCCGCUAACUAGCUACGGAGGCAUCCCUUCACGGCGCUUUUUUUAGAGGGACUAUGGCCGUUUAGGCCAAGGAAGUUUGAGGCAAUAACAGGUCUGUGAUGCCCUUAGAUGUUCGGGGGGUCGACGCGCGCUACACUGAUGUAUUCAACGAAGUUCACACCUUGGCCGACAGGCCCGGUAAUCUUUGAAAUUUCAUCGAUGGAUGGGGAUAGAUCAUUGCAAUUGUUGGUCUUCAACGAGGAAUUCCUAGUAGUAAGCCGAAGUCAUCAGCUCGCUGACUACGCCCCCGCCUUUUUGUACACACCGCCCGCCGCUUCCUACCGAUUGAAUGAUCCGUGAAGUGUUCGAUCGCGGGCGACGUGGGGUUCGCCGCCCGCGACGUCGCGAGAAGUCCACUAAACCUUAUCAUUUAGAGGAAGGAGAAGUCGAACAAGGUUUCCGUAGGUGAACCCGCGGAAG